UACGUAGGGUGCAAGCGUUAAUCGGAAUUACUGGGCGUAAAGCGUGCGCAGGCGGUUUUGUAAGACAGGUGUGAAAUCCCCGGGCUUAACCUGGGAACUGCAUUUGUGACUGCAAGGCUGGAGUGCGGCAGAGGGGGAGUGGAAUUCCGCGUGUAGCAGUGAAAUGCGUAGAGUAUGCGGAGGAACACCGAUGGCGAAGGCAAUCCCCUGGGCCUGCACUGACGCUCAUGCACGAAAGCGUGGGGAGCAAACAGG
rnacentral:rRNA from 1 species